UGAGCAACCUGCCCUUGACUCUGGAAUAACAGCUGGAAACAGCUGCUAAUACCGGAUACGACCUCCGAUGGCAUCAUCUGGAGGUGGAAAGCUCCGACGGUCAAGGAUGGGCUCGCGGCCUAUCAGCUUGUUGGUGAGGUAACGGCUCACCAAGGCUUCGACGGGUAGCCGGCCUGAGAGGGCGACCGGCCACACUGGGACUGAGAUACCGGCCCAGACCUNUACGGGA
rnacentral:rRNA from 1 species